GUGAAGCCCAGCUUGCUGGGUGGAUCAGUGGCGAACGGGUGAGUAACACGUGAGCAACCUGCCCUCCACUUCGGGAUAAGCCUUGGAAACGGGGUCUAAUACCGGAUAUGAGCUCGCAUCGCAUGGUGUGGGUUGGAAAGUUUUUCGGUGGGGGAUGGGCUCGCGGCCUAUCAGCUUGUUGGUGGGGUGAUGGCCUACCAAGGCGUCGACGGGUAGCCGGCCUGAGAGGGCGACCGGCCACACUGGGACUGAGACACGGCCCAGACUCCUACGGGAGGCAGCAGUGGGGAAUAUUGCACAAUGGGCGCAAGCCUGAUGCAGCGACGCCGCGUGAGGGAUGACGGCCUUCGGGUUGUAAACCUCUUUCAGCAGGGAAGAAGCGCAAGUGACGGUACCUGCAGAAGAAGCGCCGGCUAACUACGUGCCAGCAGCCGCGGUAAUACGUAGGGCGCAAGCGUUGUCCGGAAUUAUUGGGCGUAAAGAGCUCGUAGGCGGUCUGUCGCGUCUGGUGUGAAAUCCCGAGGCUCAACCUCGGGCUUGCAUCGGGUACGGGCAGACUAGAGUGCGGUAGGGGAGACUGGAAUUCCUGGUGUAGCGGUGGAAUGCGCAGAUAUCAGGAGGAACACCGAUGGCGAAGGCAGGUCUCUGGGCCGCAACUGACGCUGGGGAGCGAAAGCAUGGGGAGCGAACAGGAUUAGAUACCCUGGUAGUCCAUGCCGUAAACGUUGGGCACUAGGUGUGGGGCUCAUUCCACGAGUUCCGUGCCGCAGCUAACGCAUUAAGUGCCCCGCCUGGGGAGUACGGCCGCAAGGCUAAAACUCAAAGGAAUUGACGGGGGCCCGCACAAGCGGCGGAGCAUGCGGAUUAAUUCGAUGCAACGCGAAGAACCUUACCAAGGCUUGACAUGUACGAGAAAGCCCCCGAGACGGGGUUCUCUUUGGACACUCGUACACAGGUGGUGCAUGGUUGUCGUCAGCUCGUGUCGUGAGAUGUUGGGUUAAGUCCCGCAACGAGCGCAACCCUCGUCCUAUGUUGCCAGCGGGUUAUGCCGGGGACUCAUGGGAGACUGCCGGGGUCAACUCGGCGGAAGGUGGGGAUGACGUCAAAUCAUCAUGCCCCUUAUGUCUUGGGCUUCACGCAUGCUACAAUGGCCGGUACAGAGGGCUGCGAUACCGUAAGGUGGAGCGAAUCCCAAAAAGCCGGUCUCAGUUCGGAUUGGGGUCUGCAACUCGACCCCAUGAAGUCGGAG
rnacentral:rRNA from 1 species